AUUUCUUCCUUGCUGUAUCUUGACAAAUUGCUAGGCAGUGACACCUCUGCUGUCUGUGGUUCCGUGGGCAGACACGUUCGGAUAUCCAUGUAGAUAACUUCUCUCCUCCCCUUCCUCUUUGCCAGCUUACUGUGGACUCGUCUUCCACACUUGCUUCUACAACUGUUGGAUUCGGCAGUUGGCAGGUCCAGCCUUUGAGCCACCAUAUAAUGAAACCCGUUGGGAACAGCCUUCUCCGGGAACCAGCUUCCUGCUCCCCCCCACAUCCCCCAGAGUAGUUUAGCUGGAUCAGUUCCUUCUCUGAGCUACUGUGCAUCUCCACAAACUCUGGAGCUGGAAAAACUGGAGGGGAAAAAGCAGCAGAGAAGAGGGAAGAGAGAAUCACAUCCCUGGUGCUGAGAUGGAUUUGUGUAUGAUACAAACAGGCACGACAUAUGCAAAACUAAAAUGACUGAUCUGUUCUGUUGCUUUAUUGCACUAAGUCAGGAUAACCGUGAGGUAUUAAGGCUCCAUUUGCAUGAUAUCUUAAAGAUUCUGUAUGUUUCUUAUGUUCUCAGGAUUUUGAAUCUCUUUCAACAGGCCACAAAACCUUCCUCAUAGACUACCAGCUUUCCUUUAUAGUAAGCAAGGUUAAGCUUUGUGACAGCAGCUCAAAAAGCAAUACUUGCGUGUACACUCUCUGACACAUCAUUAUUCUGUGAUAUGUAUCAAAGCUCCCCUCUUUUUAUCAGAUUGGAGAAUUGUCCCAUUUGUAUAACUGCUCAAAGUAAAUAAAUAAUCUAGACAAUACUAAGUGCGAAGGCAGUUGAAACUAUUCAUUGUUUGGUCUCACAUCAGGGAGAAAACAUGUCAAAGAACUUGUCCAAUCAGAGCAAGGUGCCAAAAUCCCCAGAUCUAGCCUUGGCAUAUGGUAUUGAACAGAUGUACUGGAUAUGAAAAAUCACAGCUGCCAGCUAGCUGAUAGCUA